GGGGCUAAUAUAUCUGCCUUCUAUAGACUAAAUUGGAAUGAUACAGAGAUUAGCAUGGCCCCUGCGCAAGGAUGGCAAAUCUGUGAAGCAUUCCAUAUCACU